GAUCAUGGUUCAGGACGAACGCUGGCGGCGCGCCUAACACAUGCAAGUCGAACGAGCGAGAGAGAGCUUGCUUUCUCGAGCGAGUGGCGAACGGGUGAGUAACGCGUGAGGAACCUGCCUCAAAGAGGGGGACAACAGUUGGAAACGACUGCUAAUACCGCAUAAGCCCACGACCCGGCAUCGGGAAGAGGGAAAAGGAGCAAUCCGCUUUGAGAUGGCCUCGCGUCCGAUUAGCUAGUUGG
rnacentral:rRNA from 1 species